rnacentral:rRNA from 1 species
UACGUAGGGGGCUAGCGUUGUCCGGAAUCAUUGGGCGUAAAGAGCGUGUAGGCGGUCCGGUAAGUCCGCUGUGAAAGUCGGGGCUCAACCCUCGAAUGCCGGUGGAUACUGUCGGGCUAGAGUGCGGAAGAGGCGAGUGGAAUUCCUGGUGUAGCGGUGGAAUGCGCAGAUAUCAGGAGGAACACCAAUAGCGAAGGCAGCUCGCUGGGACGUUACUGACACUGAGGCGCGAAAGCGUGGGGAGCGAACAGG